UGUGCACGCUCUGUUCACACAUCCACUCACACUUGUGCACCCUCUGUAGUUCUAUGGCCUGGCGGACGCUGUCCCCCUUGCUGUGGUUCUAUGUCUUUACACACACACUGUAACAAAGUCUCAUGGAAUGUAGUCGCGUUUAACGCAAUACAAUACAACUUUCAGCAACGGAUCUCUUGGCUCUCGCAUCGAUGAAGAACGCAGCGAAAUGCGAUAAGUAAUGUGAAUUGCAGAAUUCAGUGAAUCAUCGAAUCUUUGAACGCACCUUGCGCCCUUUGGCUAUUCCGAAGGGCAUGCCUGUUUGAGUAUCAUGAACACCUCAACUCUCAUGGCUUGCCAUGAUGAGCUUGGACUUUGGGGGUCUUGCUGGCCAGCGGUCGGCUCCUCUCAAAUGAAUCAGCUUGCCAGUGUUUGGCGGCACCACAGGUGUGAUAACUAUCUACGCUCGUGGUUUCCUGCCAGGCAUCCUUCAUCAAUGGGAGGUUCACUGGGAGCUCAUAAAAC
rnacentral:misc_RNA from 1 species